UUAAUUGAAGCCAAAAAGAGGCCUAUCACUGUUAAUGAUAUAAUUGAAUUUUAAUUCCAAUUAAA
rnacentral:tRNA from 3 species